UACAGAGGGUGCGAGCGUUUGUCCGGAAUCACUGGGCGUAAAGGGCGCGUAGGCGGUUUUGGUAGGUCCGUUUGUGAAAAACUCGAGGCUCAACCUCGAGACGCCGAUGGAAACCAUCAGACUAGAGUCCGGAAGAGGAGAGUGGAAUUCCUGGUGUAGCGGUGAAAUGCGUAGAUAUCUGGAGGAACACCGGUGGCGAAGGCGACUUUCUGGCUUAUAACUGACGCU
rnacentral:rRNA from 1 species